rnacentral:rRNA from 1 species
AUUGAACGCUGGCUGCAGGCUUAACACAUGCAAGUCGAGCGAGCGGCGGACGGGUGAGUACUGUCUGGGAACCUGCCUGAUGGAGGGGGAUAACUACUGUUAACGGUAGCUAAUACCGAAUACCCUCCGAUGAACCCAGAUGGGAUUAGCUAGUAGGUGGGUGAAUGGCUCACCUAGGCGACGAUCCCUCGAUGGUCUGAGAGGAUGACCAGCAACUCUGGAACUGAGACAAGGUCCAGAGCCCUACGUGAGGCAGCAGUGGGGAAUAGUGCACAAUGGGCGCAAGCCUGAUGCAGCCAUGCCGCGUGUGUGAAGAAGGCCUUCGGGUUGUAAAGCACUUUCAGCGAGGAGGCGUUACUCGCAGAAGAAGCACCGGCUAACUCCGUGCCAGCAGCCGCGGUAAUAC